UGGGGAAUUUUGGACAAUGGGGGAAACCCUGAUCCAGCCAUCCCGCGUGUGCGAUGAAGGCCUUCGGGUUGUAAAGCACUUUUGGCAGGAAAGAAACGUCGCGGGUUAAUACCCCGCGAAACUGACGGUACCUGCAGAAUAAGCACCGGCUAACUACGUGCCAGCAGCCGCGGUAAUACGUAGGGUGCAAGCGUUAAUCGGAAUUACUGGGCGUAAAGCGUGCGCAGGCGGUUCGGAAAGAAAGAUGUGAAAUCCCAGAGCUUAACUUUGGAACUGCAUUUUUAACUACCGGGCUAGAGUGUGUCAGAGGGAGGUGGAAUUCCGCGUGUAGCAGUGAAAUGCGUAGAUAUGCGGAGGAACACCGAUGGCGAAGGCAGCCUCCUGGGAUAACACUGACGCUCAUGCACGAAAGCGUGGGGAGCAAACAGGAUUAGAUACCCCGGUAGUCCACGCCCUAAACGAUGUCAACUAGCUGUUGGGGCCUUCGGGCCUUGGUAGCGCAGCUAACGCGUGAAGUUGACCGCCUGGGGAGUACGGUCGCAAGAUUAAAACUCAAAUGAAUUGAC
rnacentral:rRNA from 1 species